rnacentral:rRNA from 1 species
AACGCUGGCGGCAGGCCUAACACAUGCAAGUCGAGCGAGAAAGUACUUCGGUACGAGUAAAGCGGCGGACGGGUGAGUAACGCGUAGGAAUCUACCUGGUAGUGGGGGACAACAUGUGGAAACGCAUGCUAAUACCGCAUACGACCUAAGGGUGAAAGUGGGGGACCUUCGGGCCUCACGCUAUCGGAUGAGCCUGCGUAAGAUUAGCUAGUUGGUGAGGUAAGAGCUCACCAAGGCGACGAUCUUUAGCUGGUCUGAGAGGAUGGUCAGCCACACUGGGACUGAGACACGGCCCAGACUCCUACGGGAGGCAGCAGUGGGGAAUAUUGCGCAAUGGAGGAAACUCUGACGCAGCCAUGCCGCGUGUGUGAAGAAGGCCUUAGGGUUGUAAAGCACUUUCAAUUGGGAAGAAAGGUUGUACGUUAAUAGCGUGCAGCUGUGACAUUACCUUUAGAAGAAGCACCGGCUAACUCCGUGCCAGCAGCCGCGGUAAUACGGAGGGUGCGCGCGUUAAUCGGAAUUACUGGGCGUAAAGCGCGCGUAGGCGGUUUGUUAGGUCGGAUGUGAAAGCCCUGGGCUCA